CAGUAGCCGCGGGAAUACAGAGGAUGCAAGCGUUAUCCGGAAUGAUUGGGCGUAAAGCGCGCGCAGGCGGUUUCUUAAGUCUGAUGUGAAAGCCCCCGGCUUAACCGGGGAGGGUCAUUGGAAACUGGGAGACUUAGAGUGCAGAAGAGGAGAGUGGAAUUCCAUGUGUAGCGGUGAAGUGCGUAGAUAUACGGAGGAACACCAGUGGCGAAGGCGGCUCUCUGGUCUGUAACUGACGCUGAGGCGCGAAAGCGUGGUGAGCAAACAGGAUUAGAUACCCGAGUAGUCCCUGUCUCUUAUU
rnacentral:rRNA from 1 species